UACGUAGGGUGCAAGCGUUAAUCGGAAUUACUGAGCGUAAAGCGUGCGCAGGCGGCUAUGCAAGACAGAUGUGAAAUCCCCGGGCUCAACCUGGGAACUGCAUUUGUGACUGCAUAGCUAGAGUACGGUAGAGGGGGAUGGAAUUCCGCGUGUAGCAGUGAAAUGCGUAGAUAUGCGGAGGAACACCGAUGGCGAAGGCAAUCCCCUGGACCUGUACUGACGCUCAUGCACGAAAGCGUGGGGGAGCAAACAGGAUUAGAAUACCCCUG
rnacentral:rRNA from 1 species